GCGACCGCCGGGAUCCCCGCAUCAAAUCCUCAUCUUCGCCGCUGCUCCCGGACGCGUGUGGUCGAGGGCCAGGUAGUAUGGAUCCAGAUUUCGUCUGGGCGUGCAUGGUCAAGGGCUCUCCGCACGCGUGAGGAUCCCUGCGAGCGCAGCCUCUGAACUCCACCGAGCAUGACGUGCACCGUUCUACGAUCCGAAGCUGGUCAAUAGCAGAGCGGGAGGCGAGAGGGGAUUUGGACCAACACGCGGUCGGCAGCAGCCGAGCGGCGUGCGACGGGCCGACGGCGGACGCUAGAGACCGCAAGGUAUCGCAACCAGAUUCCCCCGCCCCCAAGAGCUUCCCGUCGUUACUUCCAAGAGAUCCCCACCGCUGACUCCCCGCCGGCAGCCCGCUGUAAUAGGUGGGUUGCGGUGGUUAGCCUCUCCCUCACCAGACUCCAUCCAGCCUAAAUGGCCUUCCGCGACAAGGUCCCUUACAGAUUCUUCGCAGGCGCCGCCAUCCUUCCAUGGAGAUCGAGACGGGCCAUGUUCUCGGGGGAAGGGAUACGUGAAUGAGGACGGGGGAGCGACGAGGGGAAUAUAGGACCAUGUCGGUGGCGGUCGCGCACAGCUAGGCGGAGAGACGGGCGGGACGUCGAUGAACAUUAGAGCACGCGCCGGAGCAGAAGCUAGCAGCGGCGGCGGCAGUGAAGCUUGCGUGUGUGGUGACCAAAGGGAGGGGAUAAGUUUGGGCUGUUGGGGUGCGUAGCUUUGCUGGCCUGGCCCAUGGACCAGUUCGGCUGCACCUAGCUUGGCAGAUGGGCCUAACGGGUAUGAGUACCUAUGUGAUGGGCUAUACGAUAAAUGACAGCUGGGUGAAAUAAGACCUGCUUCGACAGUACUAGGUA